rnacentral:misc_RNA from 1 species
GAUGAAGAACGCAGCGAAAUGCGAUAAGUAAUGUGAAUUGCAGAAUUCAGUGAAUCAUCGAAUCUUUGAACGCACAUUGCGCCCGCCAGUAUUCUGGCGGGCAUGCCUGUUCGAGCGUCAUUUCAACCAUCAAGCCCCAGGCUUGUGUUGGGGACCUGCGGCUGCCGCAGGCCCUGAAAACCAGUGGCGGGCUCGCUGUCACACCGGGCGUAGUAGAUUUUAUCUCGCUCAGGGCGUGCUGCGGGUUCCGGCCGUUAAAAAGCCUUCUUUACCCAAGGUUGACCUCGGAUCAGGUAGGAAUACCCGCUGAACUUAAGCAUAUCAAUAAGCGGAGGA